UCGGCUAACACACACACACUCAAUACUCUCUCCCUCCCUCCCUCCCUCUACUUUUCAUCUCUCUAGAAAUCGGCAAGUCGCCGACCAACAGUCCGAAACUCAGCUACGCUCAUCUCCACGGCGUCUGCUCUGCCUCGCCUCCGUCCUCUCCUUGCUUUGCUUCGGCCUUCUCUCCUCCUUCAUCCUCCGUUGAAGAAGAGUCCUAGAGCUUAGAGCUUCAAAGUCCACGCUUAAGCUUAAACCUUGUGAAAUUAUGCCGAUACGGGAUGCAAUCUUUAUGGUAACCAACUUAAGUGUAGCCCGCCUAAGAGAAUAAUAAUGUGUCGCAUAUAAGGUAGUGUCUUUCUCACCACAUCGUUUAAUAUAAUGCUCUUAAUCAAGAUGAUUAUAAAGUAAAUCGACUUGUGCUCUGCAUAUAGAAGAACUGUGUGUUGAUAUUUUCAUCUUUACUACUUGUGUGAGGUACUAGUUCGAUGAUUUCGAUUAUUUAAGUUGUUUCAUCGUUGUUGGUUGAUGGAGUGGUUUCGACUUGUGACAAAGUGGCGAUAUGAGCAAUAUAAUGAUAUUCACAAGGUCGGUUUUUGAUAAUUCAUCAAGUGUUACAGUUGCUAUUGAUUUGCAUUUUGGUGAUCUAUGUAAAUCUUGUGGUUUUGAAUGUUAUGGUGCUAUGGUGAGUACCAAAUCAUGUGCGUUUAAUAAUUCAAGUAAGCCUAACAUUUUGUGUAAUCCUUGGAUUAGUGUGAUCUCAUCCCUUUAGUUUUAGAAAUUACCGAACAUAGAACAUGUUAAUAAAAAGGGAUGCUUGGACGUGAGAUAUCAAGCUUCUUCUAUGGACGAUCUAGCCUCCAUUUCUUAUGGAGGGUGUAGCUUCCAUUAUGUACAUGUCUUACAUGGAUUAUCUAGCCCCCAUUCUGCUAUUAUUAUAUGGACGGUCUAGCUUCCAUUCUGUAUAUAUUCAUGGAAAAUAUCCAGCCUCCAUUUCGAAAUAUCUUAUGGAGGGUCUUGCAUCUAUUUGGAAAAUAAAUAUAUUUCAAUGGUUGAUCUAGCCUCCAUCUCGACUCAUACAGAUGGCCUAGCUUCCAUCUUUGAAUAAUCUGUUAUGAAUAUGAAUUUCUAAAACUCUCAAAGUGGGAGUUUAAGGCUCAUUAAAUGUUUGACUAUAUAUUUCUGGAAAUAUUUAUUGUGUUUGAAGCCUAAUAGCUACUGGUCAAUGUUACAUGUUUAUGAGAACGUGUAAGAAAGUAGUGAUAUUAUGUGAAAUGUUACAUGUUUAUGAGAAUGUGUAAGAAAGUAUAGAUAUUAUGUAAAAAUAUUACUUUUGUGUGGGGACUUUAUGAUCUUAUAAGAAUCUUGGAGUUUUCCUUUUGCAAUUAUGGGUUUCCAUCUUAUAUUAAUGAAGAAAUGCUAAAUGAGAGCUAUUUGAAUACUAAGUGAGUUAAUUGAAGCUCGAUAUGUGAUCAUGUAAAGGUGUGGAUACACAUACACAUGAAAUUAAAUGACGUGUUAAGUUUUCUUUUUGUUGAAUCAGAUUAAUCUUAAUCGUCAUUGCAUAUCAUUUAUAUAUCUUUUAUUUGAGAAGUCUACUUUAUAAUAUGUGAUUAAACUACUGAGCUUUUAAAGCUCACCACUUUUCGGAUUGUUUGUUUUGUAGGUAAAAACUCUCUUACUCUAAGCAGCUGCAUCCCCAUCAAGUCACCAGUCUUACAAUCUUUGGUUAUUACCUGUUAUUGAUGUGUAUUUUUGUUCGAUAUAGGCGGGUUGAAUGUAAAAAUUAUGUUCAAGUCUUGUUGGCAAGUUAUCAACUUUUUAAAAAAAAAAGAGUUUUAUGGGUUUUCUGCCGUCCUUUAAUAAUAUUUGUAUUUUGAAAUUUUGAUAAUCACAACACAAAGUGAAAUCGCUUAUUCAGUUUUUA